rnacentral:rRNA from 1 species
GGACUACAGGGGUAUCUAAUCCUGUUUGCUCCCCACGCUUUCGUGCCUCAACGUCAGAAAUGAGCCAAGAAGCUGCCUUCGCCAUUGGUGUUCCUCCCGAGAUCCACGCAUUUUACCGCUACUCCGGGAAUUCCACUUCUCUCUCUCACCCUCUAGCACGCCAGUUUUCAUUGCAGCCCUCCGGUUAGGCCAGAGUCUUUAACAACAAACUUAACAUACCGUCUACGCACCCUUUACGCCCAGUAAUUUCGAACAACGCUCGCACCCUUCGUAUUACCGCGGCUGCUGGCAC